AAAUAUAUGUUUUCUGCUUUAUGUGCGCAUCCUCUACCUAUUAAGUGUUAAUUAAAUUAAAGGGUUUCUUUUUAAAAUCUUCUAUAACUAAUAAAAAAAUAUGGAAGAUUUUGUUACUUUGAGUAAAUUAGAGUGUUCAAAGCAAACAGAUAUAUAGCAUUUGUGCGUUUGAAUACUACAGCAUGGAAUAACAAAAUUGAACAAGUCAGAAUUUUUUUGUUCUUUUUUCUUAUUUUGGCUUAGUUACGAUUAAUAGGAGUAGUUUGGGGACAUUUGUAUUCAGAUGUCAGAGGUGAAAUUCUAAGAUUUUCUGGAGACAAACAACUGCGAAGGCAUUUGUCUAAAAUACUUCCAUUAAUCAAGAACGAAAGUUAAGGGAGUGAAGACGAUCAGAUACCGUCGUAAUCUUAACCAUAAACUAUACCGACUAGGUUUUGGAUGAAAGUAAAACAAAUAAGGAUAGUCUCUUCGGGGAUAGUUCUUAGAUUUCUUCCUUCAGUACCUUAUGAGAAAUCAAAGUCUUUGGGUUCUGGGGCGAGUAUUCGCGCAAGCGAGAAAGUUAAAAGAAUUGACGGAAGGGCACCACCAGGCGUGGAGCUUGCGGCUUAAUUUGACUCAACACGGGAAAACUCACUAGUUUAAGACAAGAGUAGGAUUGACAGAUUAAUAGCUCUUUCUUGAUUUCUUGGAUGGUGAUGCAUGGCCGUUUUUAGUUCGUGAAUAUGAUUUGUCUGGUUAAUUCCGAUAACGAACGAGAUCUUAACCUGCUAAUUAGCAGUAAGUACAACAUAUUUCUAUGCUGAAUUUGUAUUUGGAUAAUUUAAAAGGUUUUUUUGCCGUGCAUAUAAUGAGUACGGAAAAAAUGCAUACUGCUACCUUGUACCUAAUAAUACUUGGCGCCUAUGCAUAUUUCCAACCCUCUAUUCCCUGUACCGCAUAAAACUGGAUUAUGAUGCCAUUUCACUUUUAUGUAGAAAUGUAUUUGCUUUUACAUAAAGCUUCUUAGAGGAACGAUGUGUGUCUAACACAAGGAAGU
rnacentral:rRNA from 1 species